rnacentral:rRNA from 1 species
CACCUGUUCCCAUUCCGAACACAGAAGUUAAGCUCUCUAGCGCUGAUGGUACUUGGUGGGAAACUGCCUGGGAGAGUAGGACAUAGCCAGGUG